GUGUCAGCAGCCGCGGUAAUACGGAGGAUCCAAGCGUUAUCCGGAAUCAUUGGGUUUAAAGGGUCCGUAGGCGGUUUAAUAAGUCAGUGGUGAAAGCCCAUCGCUCAACGGUGGAACGGCCAUUGAUACUGUUAAACUUGAAUUAUUAGGAAGUAACUAGAAUAUGUAGUGUAGCGGUGAAAUGCUUAGAGAUUACAUGGAAUACCAAUUGCGAAGGCAGGUUACUACUAAUGGAUUGACGCUGAUGGACGAAAGCGUGGGUAGCGAACAGGAUUAGAAACCCCCGUAGUCC
rnacentral:rRNA from 1 species